CGAAGGGCUUUUCAGCAUUCGCAAAUACCGAAGGGCUUCGCCUAUAAAUAUGCUCCCUGUGCCUCCUCAUCCCUUCGGCAAGAGCAGUUGGCCUCUCAACACAACCACAAAUAGUACACACACGAAAGACUAGAGGGCAAUCAGGCUACCUAGGAGUCAAGCUAGUAGUAAUGGAGUACUGCUACCAGUACAGCAGCGUCAGCAGCAGCAGCAGCAACUUGGCCAAGGAGAAGAGGCCGCCGCCGAAGAGGGGCCACGUCAAGAUGCAGAUCGUCAGGACCCUCAGCAACCUCGUGGCGCCGGGCAGCGGUGGCGACCCCAAGCAGGAUCGCAGCAGCUUCAGAAGGGAACGAAGCUACAACUGAAGACGGCCGUACCGUACGUGUCUGUAGAUGUACAUAUGCAUAUGGGCAUACGGCGUGUCGCCUCUUGUAUCUGAGCUACUUUCCUUUUUUUUUUGAAAAGAUAUCUGAACUACUUUUCUCUGUGAGGUUUUAGCUAGGAAAUAGCAAGAUAAGUUCCAUGUGUUUGGAAAACAAGUUUCUAUGCCAACAAGGUUACAAUAACAUGAACGACGCGCAGCAUGUAUAGUAUUUCUUCUUCUUCUUUUUAACCCUGUCUGUUUCAUGUGUUGAAUCAACUCUGCUUUCAAUAUAGUUCUCUUUGCGUUCCUCUAUUGGAAGCGAUAGAAACUCUAUUGUACCUUUGUG
rnacentral:lncRNA from 1 species